GACGAACGCUGGCGGCGUGCUUAACACAUGCAAGUCGAACGGAAAGGCCCUGCUUUUGUGGGGUGCUCGAGUGGCGAACGGGUGAGUAACACGUGAGUAACCUGCCCUUGACUUUGGGAUAACUUCAGGAAACUGGGGCUAAUACCGGAUAGGAGCUCCUGCUGCAUGGUGGGGGUUGGAAAGUUUCGGCGGUUGGGGAUGGACUCGCGGCUUAUCAGCUUGUUGGUGGGGUAGUGGCUUACCAAGGCUUUGACGGGUAGCCGGCCUGUGCGGGUGACCGGCCACAUUGGGACUGAGAUACGGCCCAGACUCCUCCGGGAGGCAGCAGUGGGGAUUAUUGCACACUGGGCGGAACCCUGAUGCAGCAACGCCGCGUGCGGGAUGACGGCCUUCGGGUUGUAAACCGCUUUCGCCUGUGACGAAGCGUGAGUGACGGUAAUGGUCAAAGAAGCACCGGCUAUCUACGU
rnacentral:rRNA from 1 species